rnacentral:rRNA from 1 species
GUUGUCAGAAAAAGAAUAUAAGUUCAACUUUAACCCAUGCAAAACAACACCAUGAAAAUUAUAAUGCAGGAUUAAAUGAUAAUCUAAAGAGGUACAGCCCUUUAGAUACAGGAUACAACCUUAAAUGGAGAGUAAGUGUAAAAAGCAUUCAUAGUUGGCCUAAAAGCAGCCAUCAAUUAAGAAAGCGUUCAAGCUCAACAAUAUAUACACUAUAAUUCCAAUAGUAUAACUAGCUCCCAAACUUUAACUGGACUAAUCUAUACAAAUAGAAGAAAUACUGUUAAUAUGAGUAACAAGAAUUAUUUCUCCCAGCACAAGUCUAUAUCAGAUCGGAUAUCCCACUGAUAGUUAACAAACUAAUAAUAAUAAACCAAACAUAAAACACUUAUUACACAGAUUGUUAACCCAACACAGGUGUGCUAAAGCUAGGGAAAGAUUAAAAGAAGUAAAAGGAACUCGGCAAACAACAAACCCCGCCUGUUUACCAAAAACAUCACCUCUGGCAUUAAUAGUAUCAGAGGCACUGCCUGCCCGGUGACAUACGUUAAACGGCCGCGGUAUCCUG